UACGGAGGGUGCAAGCGUUGUCCGGAUUUAUUGGGUUUAAAGGGUGCGUAGGCGGCCUUUUAAGUCAGUGGUGAAAGCCAACAGCUCAACUGUUGAACUGCCAUUGAUACUGAAAGGCUUGAGUACAGACGAGGUAGGCGGAAUUGAAGAUGUAGCGGUGAAAUGCAUAGAUAUCCUCAAGAACACCGAUUGCGUAGGCAGCUUACUAGGCUGUAACUGACGCUGAGGCACGAAAGCGUGGGGAGCGAACAGG
rnacentral:rRNA from 1 species